UGGCAAUGUGUUCUUAAAUAACUGGUC
rnacentral:piRNA from 1 species